rnacentral:lncRNA from 1 species
UCUUUUUCUUUGGGCUUAACGGGUUGCGGGUUCGGAUUCGGAUCCGACCCGCAAACCCGUUAUCAGGGUUUUUCUCCCCCCCUUCCAGAGGCUUCCGCCUCCUCAUCUCCCGCUCUCCUCUCUCUCCUCUCUUUCUCCUUCGUCUCCGCCGAACCCAUGCCUCCGGCCGGUCCUCCGGCCCUCUUCUUCUCCUACGGCCUCCUCUCUCUCUC